CUUACACAUGCAAGUCGAACGGCAGCACGGACUUCGGUCUGGUGGCGAGUGGCGAACGGGUGAGUAAUAUAUCGGAACAUACCCAGUAGUGGGGGAUAACUAUCCGAAAGGAUAGCUAAUACCGCAUACGAUCUGUGGAUGAAAGCAGGGGAUCUUCGGACCUUGUGCUAUUGGAAUGGCCGAUAUCUGAUUAGCUAGUUGGUAGGGUAAAAGCCUACCAAGGCGACGAUCAGUAGCUGGUCUGAGAGGACGACCAGCCACACUGGAACUGAGACACGGUCCAGACUCCUACGGGAGGCAGCAGUGGGGAAUUUUGGACAAUGGGGGCAACCCUGAUCCAGCAAUGCCGCGUGAGUGAAGAAGGCCCUCGGGUUGUAAAGCUCUUUUGUCAGGGAAGAAACGGAGUUCUCUAAUAUAGGAUUCUAAUGACGGUACCUGAAGAAUAAGCACCGGCUAACUACGUGCCAGCAGCCGCGGUAAUACGUAGGGUGCAAGCGUUAAUCGGAAUUACUGGGCGUAAAGCGUGCGCAGGCGGUUUCGUAAGUCUGAUGUGAAAUCCCCGGGCUCAACCUGGGAACUGCAUUGGAGACUGCAAG
rnacentral:rRNA from 1 species